rnacentral:rRNA from 1 species
UACGUAGGGUGCAAGCGUUAUCCGGAAUUAUUGGGCGUAAAGAGCUCGUAGGCGGUUUGUCGCGUCUGCUGUGAAAACUGGAGGCUCAACCUCCAGCCUGCAGUGGGUACGGGCAGACUAGAGUGCGGUAGGGGGAGAUUGGAAUUCCUGGUGUAGCGGUGAAAUGCGCAGAUAUCAGGAGGAACACCGAUGGCGAAGGCAGGUCUCUGGGCAUUAACUGACGCUGAGGGAGCGGAA